CAGCCGCCACGGUAAUACGUAGGGCGCAAGCGUUAUCCGGAAUUAUUGGGCGUAAAGAGCUCGUAGGCGGUUUGUCGCGUCUGCCGUGAAAGUCCGGGGCUCAACCCCGGAUCUGCGGUGGGUACGGGCAGACUAGAGUGAUGUAGGGGAGACUGGAAUUCCUGGUGUAGCGGUGAAAUGCGCAGAUAUCAGGAGGAACACCGAUGGCGAAGGCAGGUCUCUGGGCAUUAACUGACGCUGAGGAGCGAAAGCAUGGGGAGCGAACAGGAUUAGAUACCCCCGUAGUCCCUGUCUCUUAUAC
rnacentral:rRNA from 1 species